GACCAGACUCCUACGGGAGGCAGCAGUGGGGAAUAUUGCACAAUGGGGGAAACCCUGAUGCAGCGACGCCGCGUGAGCGAUGAAGUAUUUCGGUAUGUAAAGCUCUAUCAGCAGGGAAGAAGAUGACGGUACCUGACUAAGAAGCCCCGGCUAACUACGUGCCAGCAGCCGCGGUAAUACGUAGGGGGCAAGCGUUAUCCGGAUUUACUGGGUGUAAAGGGAGCGUAGACGGCGAUGCAAGCCAGAUGUGAAAGCCCGGGGCUCAACCCCGGGACUGCAUUUGGAACUGUGUGGCUGGAGUGUCGGAGAGGCAGGCGGAAUUCCUAGUGUAGCGGUGAAAUGCGUAGAUAUUAGGAGGAACACCAGUGGCGAAGGCGGCCUGCUGGACGAUGACUGACGUUGAGGCUCGAAAGCGUGGGGAGCAAACAGGAUUAGAUACCCGCGUAA
rnacentral:rRNA from 1 species